rnacentral:rRNA from 1 species
AUUGAACGCUGGCGGCAGGCUUAACACAUGCAAGUCGAGCGAGCGGCGGACGGGUGAGUAAUGUCUGGGACACUGCCUGCUGGUUGGGGUUAACCACUGGAAACGGUAGCUGAUACCGCAUACCAUCAGAUGUGCCCAGAUGGGCUUAGCUAGUUGGUGGGGUAAUGGAUCACCAAGGCGACGAUCCCUAGCUGGUCUGAGAGGAUGACCAGCCACACUGGAACUGUGACAAGGUCCAGACUCCUACGGGAGGCAGCAGUGGGGAAUAUGGCACAAUGGGCGAAAGCCUGAGGCAGCCAUGCCGCGUGUGUGAAGAAGGCCUUCGGGUUGUAAAGCUCUUUCAGCGUGGAGGCGUUACUCGCAGAAGAAGCACCGGCUAACUCCGUGCCAGCAGCCGCGGUAAUUC